GAUGCCGAAUGGACGCCCGGACAAAUGCAUACUAGUACACCAGUCCGUAUUAAUUGCAGGGCAUACGUACCACUCUCGUUGGAAAGGUGCAUCGAGCCCUGUUCUAUUGUGGACAAAAAAGAUGAUCUUAAUCACGACCUCAAUCCUAUAUACUACGUAUAAUCGUUUAUUGCGUCCGUAGAAUAUACAUUUGUUGCACUUGCACGUGCAAGUGUGCAACACGGCGUGCCCAAUUAAUUAGCUUGGACGUAUCUACACCAAUAUAUUAAAUUGAAGUUGGCAGUGAUGCUACGGACGUCGCGGUACGUUACUUCACCGAAAUUAUGAAUCUGUCAUCGCUGUCCCCACGCGUCUUUUAAUCCCGGCUCCCGCGGUUCUCAAGCGCAGAGAAAACACGUACUGCCCAAAAGAAAAAAGAAAAAAGAGCCCUCCUCGCUCCUCCUCCUCUCCUACAAAACUCACCCUCACCCCCUGCCCGAUCCGGAUCUCGCCAGCGCCU
rnacentral:lncRNA from 1 species